rnacentral:rRNA from 1 species
CGCGUAGGCGGUUGGAUAAGUCAGCUGUGAAAACCACGGGCUUAACUCGUGGCCUGCAGUUGAGACUGUCUGGCUUGAGUGUGGGAGAGGAGAGUGGAAUUCCUGGUGUAGCGGUGAAAUGCGUAGAUAUCAGGAGGAACACCGGUGGCGAAGGCGGCUCUCUAGACCACAACUGACGCUGAGGCGCGAAAGCUAGGGGAGCAAACA